GACGAACGCUGGCGGCGUGCCUAAUACAUGCAAGUCGAACGCUUCUUUCCUCCCGAGUGCUUGCCCUCCAUUGGAAAGAGGAGUGGCGGACGGGUGAGUAACACGUGGGUAACCUACCCAUCAGAGGGGGAUAACACUUGGAAACAGGUGCUAAUACCGCAUAACAGUUUAUGCCGCAUGGCAUAAGAGUGAAUGGCGCUUUCGGGUGUCGCUGAUGGAUGGACCCGCGGUGCAUUAGCUAGUUGGUGAGGUAACGGCUCACCAAGGCCACGAUGCAUAGCCGACCUGAGAGGGUGAUCGGCCACACUGGGACUGAGACACGGCCCAGACUCCUACGGGAGGCAGCAGUAGGGAAUCUUCGGCAAAGGACGAAAGUCUGACCGAGCAACGCCGCGUGAGUGAAGAAGGUGUUCGGAUCGUAAAACUCUGUUGUUAGAGAAGAACAAGGACGUUAGUAACUGAACGUCCCCUGACGGUACCUAAACAGAAAGCCACGGCUAACUACGUG
rnacentral:rRNA from 1 species